ensembl:lncRNA
UUUCAGCUCCUCCUCCUCCCUGUGAGUCUGUGCUGAGACUCGUCUGCCAUCUAGUGGUCUUCUGUCCGUACUGCAUCUCCACUGGUCUGCUGCUGUCCAUCUGUUGGAGCAGGAAGACACCGAACAAACCGGCCGUCUCCAUGGAGAUGAGCCAGUGUGAUGGAGGAGGUUGCCUGUUUCCUGUGUCUCUCACGUCCUGGUCCAGUUCAUCCUGGUCUCAUGUUCCAGUUGUUCUUGUUUUUUGCUUUAUUUUCCCCAGUUUAGUCAGUGAGUCCAGUCCUGG